CGGGCCGAUCAGGGAAACAGCACGGUGGAGAAUCCUAAGUACAUUGUGUGAAAUAAAAGGAUGAGAUUGACUUUGGAUGGAUGUCGAUGGAUUUUGUGUGUAGCUGCCGACGCCAGUGUUUCCAUGUGUUAGCGAGACAUCAGAGUGACAAGUGUGUGACGUUGUGCGCUCCCCGGUGAAGCCCGUUUUUUUUUAGAGUCUGUAUUCUGGGAAAUGUAAGUGCUUUCUAAAUCAAACUGUACAUUUAAGAAUCAACUGGAGUUUAUUUUGAAGGUAUAUUAAUAUUGUUUUAUUUUUGUUUUCUGUCAGUGUCCUUAGCCACUGCCGUAUGUUUCGGAUAAUUUUGUGUUAAUUAUUUUAUUUAUUUUUUGGUUUAGGCUUUUCUGCCAAAUUGAAAAUACUGCCAAUGUUGCAGAAAUAAACUAACCCCGAAGAAGUUAUUGUGUCCUGUGUGGGUCUUAGUUCAGCAGGCUACACAU